GACGAACGCUGGCGGCGUGCUUAACACAUGCAAGUCGAACGGAAAGGCCCUGCUUGCAGGGUACUCGAGUGGCGAACGGGUGAGUAACACGUGGGUGAUCUGCCCUGCACUUCGGGAUAAGCCUGGGAAACUGGGUCUAAUACCGGAUAGGAGCCAUUUUUAGUGGGAUGGUUGGAAAGUUUUUUCGGUGUAGGAUGAGCUCGCGGCCUAUCAGCUUGUUGGUGGGGUAAUGGCCUACCAAGGCGGCGACGGGUAGCCGGCCUGGGAGGGUGGACGGCCACAUUGGGACUGAGAUACGGCCCAGACUCCUACGGGCGGCAGCAGUCGGGAAUAUUGCACAAUGGGCGCAAGCCUGAUGCAGCGACGCCGCGUGGGGGAUGACGGCCUUCGGGUUGUAAACUCCUUUCGCUGGGGACGAAGCUUUUUGUGACGGUACCUAGAUAAGAAGCACCGGCUAACUACGU
rnacentral:rRNA from 1 species